rnacentral:rRNA from 1 species
AUGACGUCCAUUCUCCUACUAGAGGGGAUGGUGCACCAGUGCUCCUCCCAAGUGCAAUGGAGGCCACUAAUCCAGGCAAUGGGUCUUCUUGAUCACGCAUUGACCCCGUCCAGACACAAGAAGGCAGGCGAGUAUGCCGAACUGUUGCUUAUCCAGUCGAAUAGGAAGGCAGAAGGUGAGCGAAUGAAGGAGUGGGCAGAGGAUGCCUGGAAGAAUCAUAGGUUAACAUUAGCCCAAGCGUUGGAGUUUUCAGAAGCUUCAAAGCCUACAGUGGUUGAUACCCGCAUCGGCGGGGUCAUAUAG